AUAUUGGCCAGAGACCGAUAGCGCACAAGUAGAGUGAUCGAAAGAUGAAAAGCACUUUGGAAAGAGAGUCAAACAGCACGUGAAAUUGUUGAAAGGGAAGCGCUUGCAGCCAGACUUGCUUGCAGUUGCUCAUCCGGGCUUUUGCCCGGUGCACUCUUCUGCAGGCAGGCCAGCAUCAGUUUGGGCGGUAAGAUAAAGGUCUCUGUCACGUACCUCUCUUCGGGGAGGCCUUAUAGGGGAGACGACAUACUACCAGCCUGGACUGAGGUCCGCGCAUCUGCUAGGAUGCUGGCGUAAUGGCUGUAAGCGGCCCGUCUUGAAACACGGACC
rnacentral:rRNA from 1 species